rnacentral:lncRNA from 1 species
AACUGGCCAUGAAUAAAUGAAAAAAAUAAUAAAAAAGGAAGGAGGACCCUUUCCUCAAGAAAACCACUACAUGUUACCUCUCUACUCUUCCUCUCUGAACAUUGAAAAAAAAAAGAAAAAGAGAACAUAAACCCUCUCAUUUUUUCAUACUCCAUAUAACCUUUUUUUCACUGUCGGUGACCAUAACGCUGCCCACUUCCGCCGGCUUCCCAAACCACUCUUUCAAACCAAUUCCAUUUUCGUCUCAAACACCUCCGACGUAUCCACCGUUUUCUUUCAAUGUCCACCGGCGAGACUCCGUCCAACCACCACCUUCAUCGUCGCAACUCACAACAACCCCCCGCCGGCAAUAACCCUCCACAUCACAAAUCGGCGAUGUUCCCGUGACCACCGGCGAAGAUCUCGCCAAACAUCUUCGUCAACCGCGAACUCGCCCCUCCGCCGUGACUCAUGCUACCUUCGAUCUGGUCUCUCCCUCUCUCCGGCGACGCCGUAAC